rnacentral:rRNA from 1 species
GAUGAACGCUAGCGGCAGGCUUAACACAUGCAAGUCGAGGGGUAGAGGAAGCUUGCUUCCUUGAGACCGGCGCACGGGUGCGUAACGCGUAUACAAUCUACCUUUUACAGAGGGAUAGCCCCAGAGAAAUUUGGAUUAAUACCUCAUAGUAUUUUCGGAUCGCAUGAUUUGAUUAUUAAAGUUCCAACGGUAAAAGAUGAGUAUGCGUCCCAUUAGCUAGAUGGUAAGGUAACGGCUUACCAUGGCAAUGAUGGGUAGGGGUCCUGAGAGGGAGAUCCCCCACACUGGUACUGAGACACGGACCAGACUCCUACGGGAGGCAGCAGUGAGGAAUAUUGGACAAUGGGCGCAAGCCUGAUCCAGCCAUGCCGCGUGCAGGAAUAAGGUCCUAUGGAUUGUAAACUGCUUUUAUACAGGAAGAAACACACCCUCGUGAGGGUACUUGACGGUACUGUAUGAAUAAGGACCGGCUAACUCCGUGCCAGCAGCCGCGGUAAAG